rfam:Canis lupus familiaris chromosome 2, whole genome shotgun sequence.
GUGCUCACUUGGCAGCACAUAUACUAAAAUUGGAAUGAUACAGAGAUUAGGAUGGCCCCUGAACAAAGAUGACACACAAAUCUGUGAAGCGUUCCAUAUAUAU